rnacentral:rRNA from 1 species
CUACGGAGGGUCCGAGCGUUAUCCGGAAUCAUUGGGUUUAAAGGGUUCGUAGGCGGGAAUCUAAGUCAGUGGUGAAAUCUUGCAGCUCAACUGUAAAAUUGCCAUUGAUACUGGAUUUCUUGAAUUAGUGUGAAGUGAUUAGAAUGUGUAGUGUAGCGGUGAAAUGCAUAGAUAUUACACAGAAUACCAAUUGCGAAGGCAGAUCACUAACACUAUAUUGACGCUGAGGGACGAAAGCGUGGGGAGCGAACGGGAUUAGAAACCCCAGUAGUCC